rnacentral:rRNA from 1 species
GACGAACGCUGGCGGCGUGCUUAACACAUGCAAGUCGAACGGAAAGGCCCUGCUUUUGUGGGGUGCUCGAGUGGCGAACGGGUGAGUAACACGUGAGUAACCUGCCCUUGACUUUGGGAUAACUUCAGGAAACUGGGGCUAAUACCGGAUAGGAGCUCCUGCUGCAUGGUGGGGGUUGGAAAGUUUCGGCGGUUGGGGAUGGACUCGCGGCUUAUCAGCUUGUUGGUGGGGUAGUGGCUUACCAAGGCUUUGACGGGUAGCCGGCCUGAGAGGGUGACCGGCCACAUUGGGAAUGAGAUACGGCCCAGGCGCCUACGGGAGGCAGCAGUGGGGAAUAUUUCACAAUGGGCGGAAGGCUGAUGCAGCAACGCCGCGUGCGGGAUGACGGCCUUCGGGUGGGAAACCGCUUUCGCCUGUGACGAAGCGUGAGUGACGGUAAUGGGUAAAGAAGCACCGGCGAACUACGU